rnacentral:rRNA from 1 species
UUGGGUUAAGUCCCGCAACGAGCGCAACCCUUGUCUUUAGUUGCCAUCAUUUAGUUGGGCACUCUAAAGAGACUGCCGGUGUCAAACCGGGAGGAAGGUGGGGGAUGACGUCAAGUCCUCAUGGCCUUUAUGACCAGGGCUACACACGUACUACAAUGGCCGGUACAAAGGGCAGCCACUUAGCGAUAAGGAGCCAAUCCCGUAAAGCCGGUCUCAGUCCGGAUUGGAGUCUGCAACUCGACUCCAUGAAGUUGGAAUCGCUAGUAAUCGCAGAUCAGCACGCUGCGGUGAAUACGUUCCCGGGCCUU